rnacentral:rRNA from 1 species
GACAGAGGGUGCAAACGUUGUUCGGAAUUACUGGGCGUAAAGCGAGUGUAGGCGGUCUCAUAAGUCGGGUGUGAAAGCCCUGGGCUCAACCCAGGAAGUGCACUCGAUACUGCGAGGCUAGAGUAUCGGAGAGGUUGGUGGAAUUCUCGGUGUAGAGGUGAAAUGCGUAGAUAUCGGGAGGAACACCAGUGGCGAAGGCGACUACCUGGCCUGUUCUUGACGCUGAGGCGCGAAAGCUAGGGGAGCAAACGGG